CACGAAGGGGGCUAGCGUUGCUCGGAAUCACUGGGCGUAAAGGGCGCGUAGGCGGAUCUUUAAGUCGGGGGUGAAAGCCUGAGGCUCAACCUCAGAACUGCCUUUGAUACUGGCGAUCUUGAGUCCGGGAGAGGUGAGUGGAACUGCGAGUGUAGAGGUGAAAUUCGUAGAUAUUCGCAAGAACACCAGUGGCUAAGGCGGCUCACUGGCCCGGUACUGACGCUGAGGUGCGAAAGCGUGGGGAGCAAACAGG
rnacentral:rRNA from 1 species